rnacentral:rRNA from 1 species
UACGUAGGGACCAAGCGUUGUUCGGAUUUACUGGGCGUAAAGGGCGCGUAGGCGGCUUAACAAGUCACUUGUGAAAUCUCCGGGCUUAACUCGGAACGGCCAAGUGAAACUGUCAAGCUAGAGUGCAGAAGGGGCAAUCGGAAUUCUUGGUGUAGCGGUGAAAUGCGUAGAUAUCAAGAGGAACACCUGAGGUGAAGACGGGUUGCUGGGCUGACACUGACGCUGAGGCGCUAAAGCCAGGGGAGCAAACGGG